UCUCUGGUAGUAUAGUGGUGAGUAUCCGCGCCUGUCACGUGCGAGACCGGGGUUCGAUUCCCCGCCAGAGAG
rfam:Strongyloides stercoralis strain PV0001 genome assembly, scaffold: SSTP_contig0000207